AUUGACUUUGUGUGUGCAAACAGCAUUUUAAAUUCUCGUGCACCGUGGGUCAGCAAGGUUACAUCGUGGAUCAGCCGACCGCACUCAUAAAAAUAUUCAAUUUCCUACCGUCGAAAAAACCAGACAUACAGUGUAUAUGGCGUGCAAAAUGCCCCUGCAGAAGAUAGACAAUGUUUAACGAAACGGGAAACGAAACAGGAAGUAUCUCACACUAGAUCACAUUAUCAGGUGACAGUUCUACAGUUAGUACAGUCGAGCCCAUCUACCUGAAGCUAGGAACAUCGACACGACUAUGGAUGGCAGGACUGGUACGGGACAGGGAAGCGACGGCAGGGGAAGUGUAAUUUGGCAACUAGUAGCUGGGCUGUUAUUAUAUGUCGCAGCAGUGCCAGGAUGGUGUUGGGUAGUAAUCGGAGUACUGUCUUGUGGAACUACUAUAAUUUGCUGCGUCCUUUGGCGUCAAGGUUCAUACAUAUAUAUAUGGCUAAAACGCAAUAUUGGACGUUGGGGGAUAUUUCCUAUUACU